rnacentral:tRNA from 2 species
GGUCGGUUCGUCUAGAGGCCUAGGACACCGCUCUUUCAAGGCGGUAACACGGGUUCGAAUCCCGUACCGACUACCA